AUCUUUAUAUUAAAUGAGAUUAUUGGCCAUCUUGGUUUGUUGGAAAUUCCUUUAAAAGCGAGGAGAUUUACAUGGUCUAACAUGCAAGACUAUCCACUAUUCGAAUAGUUGGGGUGGGUUUUUACUUAUGCCAGCAGGUGGCACUAG
rnacentral:rRNA from 1 species